rnacentral:rRNA from 1 species
CAUGCAGUCGAACGAUGAAGCCUUUCGUGGGUGGAUUAUUGGCAAAGGGGUGAGUAACACGUGGGCAAUCUGCCCUUCACUCUGGGACAAGCCCUGGAAACGGGGUCUAAUACCGGAUAACACUCUGUCCUGCAUGGGACGGGGUUAAAAGCUCCGGCGGUGAAGGAUGAGCCCGCGGCCUAUCAACUUGUUGGUGGGGUAAUGGCCUACCAAGGCGACGACGGGUAGCCGGCCUGAGAGGGCGACCGGCCACACUGGGACUGAGACACGGCCCAGACUCCUACGGGAGGCAGCAGUGGGGAAUAUUGCACAAUGGGCGAAAGCCUGAUGCAUCGACGCCGCGUGAGGGAUGACGGCCUUCGGGUUGUAAACCUCUUUCAUCAGGGAAGAAGCGAAAGUGACGGUACCUGCAGAAGAAGCGCCGGCUAACUACGUGCCAGCAGCCGCGGUAAUACGUAUGGCGCAAGCGUUGUCCGGAAUUAUUGGGCGUAAAGAGCUCGUAGGCGGCUUGUCACGUCGGAUGUGAAAGCCCGGGGCUUAACCCCGGGUCUGCAUUCGAUACGGGCUAGCUAGAGUGUGGUAGGGGAGAUCGGAAUUCCUGGUGUAGCGGUGAAAUGCGCACAUAUCAGGAGGAACACCGGUGGCGAAGGCGGAUCUCUGGGCCAUUACUGACGCUGAGGAGCGAAAGCGUGGGGAGCGAA